AAACCAACAGGGAUUGCCUCAGUAACGGCGAGUGAAGCGGCAACAGCUCAAAUUUGAAAUCUGGCCUCACGGUCCGAGUUGUAAUUUGUAGAGGAUGCUUUUGGCGAGGUGCUUUCCGAGUUCCCUGGAACGGGACGCCAUAGAGGGUGAGAGCCCCGUACGGUAAGACCACCGAGCCUCUGUAAAGCUCCUUCGACGAGUCGAGUAGUUUGGGAAUGCUGCUCUAAAUGGGAGGUGUACGUCUUCUAAAGCUAAAUACCGGCCAGAGACCGAUAGCGCACAAGUAGAGUGAUCGAAAGAUGAAAAGCACUUUGAAAAGAGGGUUAAAAAGUACGUGAAAUUGUUGAAAGGGAAGCAUUCAUGACCAGACUUGGGCUUGGUUGAACAUCCGGCGUUCUCGCCGGUGCACUCUGCCAGUCCAGGCCAGCAUCAGUUUGCCCCGGGGGACAAAGGCGGUGGGAAUGUGGCUCCCUUCGGGGAGUGUUAUAGCCCGCCGUGUAAUGCCCUGGGGCGGACUGAGGAACGCGCUUCGGCACGGAUGCUGGCGUAAUGGUCAUCAAUGAC
rnacentral:rRNA from 1 species